UGUGAGCGUAUACCAAAGUUGUUGCAGUUAAAACGCUCGUAGUCGGAAUUUGGCAGUUCCGGAUGUGUGCACGUCGUGUGCGCACUUCGCGGGGAUUGCUUUUGUGGUCUUGCGUAGGAUGAGGCACUUUUAUUAGUGAACGUCCUCAAGCAACCACUUUUUACUGUGAGAAAAUCAGAGUGCUCAAAGCAGGCAUUUGCCGUGAAUGUAUUAGCAUGGAAUAAUAGAAUAGGACUUGGUUCUAUUUUGUUGGUUUGUUGGGACUGAGUAAUGAUUAAGAGGGACAGUUGGGGGCAUUUGUAUUUCGGUGCUAGAGGUGAAAUUCUUAGAUUACCGAAAGACAAACUGCUGCGAAAGCGUCUGCCAAGGAUGUUUUCAUUGA
rnacentral:rRNA from 1 species